rnacentral:rRNA from 1 species
GGAGUGGACGCAUCACUGGUGUUCGGGUUGUCAUGCCAAUGGCACUGCCCGGUAGCUAAAUGCGGAAGAGAUAAGUGCUGAAAGCAUCUAAGCACGAAACUUGCCCCGAGAUGAGUUCUCCCUGAGACUUAGAGUCUCCUGAAGGAACGUUGAAGACGACGACGUUGAUAGGCCGGGUGUGUAAGCGCAGCGAUGCGUUGAGCUAACCGGUACUAAUGAACCGUGAGGCUUAACCUUAC